rnacentral:rRNA from 1 species
CCCUUAGAUGUUCUGGGCCGCACGUGCGCUACACUGAUGCAUUCAACGAGUCUAAAACCUGGUCUGAUAGGGCUGGGUAAUCUUUUGAAUGUGCAUCGUGAUUGGGAUAGAUGAUUGCAAUUCUUCAUCUUCAACGAGGAAUGCCUAGUAAACGCAAGUCAUCAGCUUGCAUUGAUUACGUCCCUGCCCUUUGUACACACCGCCCGUCGCUCCUACCGAUUGAAUGUUCCGAUGAAUACCAUGGACUGAGAGUAUGAAUGGGUUCGCCUAUUUCUGCUUCUCGGGAAGUGGAGUAAAUCUUAACAUUUAGAGGAAGGAGAAGUCGUAACA